ensembl:lincRNA
CUGGGGGAUGAAUCUUCAUUCUCCAAGACAAGAUGGAGUGAGCUUUCAUCAUUUAUUCUACAGCUGGGAGAUACCGUUCUUGUGUUCUAAGCCUUCUCCUCAAGGAUCACACACAAGGAUGCUUGAGUUCUUUGUGAGCUGCUGAAAUUCUGGGCUUCUGGGACACAAGGAAAAGCCAGCCAGAGAUUUCCUAACUAGAAUACAUGCAAAACCUCCAACUAACUAAGUGCCUUGGAUAUAUACAUUUUGGUAAAUUGACUGAAAAUGCUCCCUAGCAAGAGAGCUGAAUAGAAUGGGCUUCUGGGGAAACAUUCUAAAUGGAAACAAGAUCCCCAAGCAGAAUUUCCAAAGGAAAGAAAAUGAAUAAUCAGCUUUCCUCUGCCCUUCACAGCUGCCCUUCUGCCUAUUCAACAACCAGCAAAGAAGCUGUGUUGUUUUAAGAUGCACGCUAGGGAGCAGAGCAGCAGCUGGCACACACGCUGCUGAAUGCCUCAGCAAGCCCUGGCCCCAGGAAACCCACACCUCACAGGAUUCAGAUGAGUGUGUUUUGAUAGCUUAUGGCUUCAAGGUAUUAAAGGGGGAUUUUCCCGGACUUGCCCAAUCACCCCUGUACAAAACAGAACUGACAGCGACGGAGCAGGUCAACAUCAUUUCAGCCCAGCUUGUCCCCAUUGUACAGAUGAAAAGUCUGAGUGUUGGAGAGGCUGAAUAACUAUGGUCUCACAGCAAGUAAAUGACAGAUCCCAGGAUUCAGGUACAGCACUCUGAUCCAUCAAAAUCCUCUGAACUUUUAGUAGUUUCUAAAUGAGGUGAUAAGUUAAUUUUCUCACUCUGUCAUGCCACAAUAUAAAUUUGUAUCAAAGCAUGACAUUGUACCCCAUAAAUACGUACACCCAACUAAAAUAAAGUCAUCUGUCAACUAAAAGUAAAAUUUAAAAAAUAAAACAUAAAAAGAAAUCCAUCACCCUAUUGUUCUAACGGAGUGGGUUACUUACCAAAGGUGUACAAGUAGGUACAGGAUUCAGAAUUAUUGCUAAUCAGGACAAAGGGUGGGCUGAAGUUUAUCUUUGUACCCCCUAAGAAGGCAGUUAUCCUACUAAGCAAGUUAGUAGGAUAAACACAUUUGCAAUGGAAUAUUUAAGCUACUUAAAAGAAUAAAUUUCUUCCGAGCGUCCAUUCACAUGCAGAUGAUUGACAUACUAAUCAAGGGCCAUUCUCACCUCUUCAUUAAGGCUUGCUCCCUGGGGACCUCUAUUAGGCAUAAAUUUAUACUAAGUUGCCACUCCUGAAUGCAUAGAACAGCGUCUCUAUCUCAGGAAAUCAAACUACUCUACAGUGUUUUCCGUUUGCUCACCUGGCUCUCUUAGGCCCAAAUCCAAUUAAAAAUUUAACCAAGAAACUUACACGGAGUGCAUCCUACCUGUCAGGCACUGUGCUAGGCGCUGGAAAUCUGAGGGCUGGUAAAAUAUGGUCCUUGAUGAGGAAAAAUUACAGAGGUUGAAUUCCUAUUCAUUUUUCUCAGGAAGUCAAAGGUUUUCCAUUAAUGAAGGCUUAAGCGGAGGCUGAAGCCCACGUGGGCAGCGCUGAGGUAGGGAGAGGGCAUCAGAAACCUUCAGAAAUGCCGAUAAUCCUCAGAGUAACCGGAUUCCAGAGUACUCUGUACCACGGAAACCACAUGGGUUUGUAACCUGGCAUGUAAACGUUAGUAUUAUCACACAUUAAGAAAUUGAUGUUUUUAAAGUUUCCAUGAUGAUUAUUCCAAUUCAAUGCAAAGUACAAAGACCUAAAAGCUUUGAAGGAAAAAGAAUGGUUUGAUUGUGAAGGACAGUGUGCCUCCUCUGGUCAGCUUGAAGAUUGAGAGGAUGUGCUCACAGUUUUCCAAUUAUGCAAAUCACAGCCCCGUGAGACUUGAACUUAAUUCUUCUCGCCCCCUUCUGAAUACACACUUUUGCAGUGGGCAAAGCAUACCUCCAUGUACUGUUGAACAGUAAGUAAUGAAUUUUUCCAUUCUUUUGGCGGCUUCCUGAAAAGCUUGGUUACCAGUAUUGAGUCAGUGAGUCAGCGGAGGCCCUGCCUGAACCUGAGGGGUGCGCAUCAGAGCUUCUGAAAGGUAAAAGAAGGCUCAUUUGCAAACAAAGCAAUACUACGGCCUGCUGCUUUGAUUUGUUUUUACAGUUUCAA